rnacentral:rRNA from 1 species
AACGAACGCUGGCGGCAGGCCUAACACAUGCAAGUCGAACGCACCGCAAGGUGAGUGGCGCACGGGUGAGUAACACGUGGGAAUGUACCCUUUGGUUCGGAAUAACGUUUGGAAACGAACGCUAAUACCGGAUGAGCCCUGCGGGGGAAAGAUUUAUCGCCAAAGGAGCAGCCCGCGUCUGAUUAGCUAGUUGGUGGGGUAAAGGCCUACCAAGGCGACGAUCAGUAGCUGGUCUGAGAGGAUGAUCAGCCACACUGGGACUGAGACACGGCCCAGACUCCUACGGGAGGCAGCAGUGGGGAA